UACAGAGGGUGCGAGCGUUAAUCGGAAUUACUGGGCGUAAAGCGUGCGUAGACGGUUAUUUAAGUCGGGUGUGAAAGCCCCGGGCUCAACCUGGGAAUUGCAUUCGAGACUGAAUAGCUAGGGUACGGUAGAGGGAAGUGGAAUUUCCGGUGUAGCGGUGAAAUGCGUAGAUAUCGGAAGGAACAUCAGUGGCGAAAGCGGCGCUCUGGGCCGGAACUGACGCUCAGGCGCGAAAGCCAGGGGAGCAAACGGG
rnacentral:rRNA from 1 species